UCACAGAAGGAGUGGCAUUUUAAAUGAACUUUAAAACAUACAUAAGAAAUCAACAAAUAAAGAGGAUGAGGAAGGACGUCUUAGGCCAACAUGAGUAUCUGCAGGGGUAUCCAAAGAUUUAUGAGGCAGUCUCAGGAAUAAGAUCCGUUGAGGGAUGCUUUGGAUUGGCCUCAUCAACACAGACUCACUUCUUGAGAAAAUUGAUAUUGUCCUUCCCCAUGGGCAGAGGCCAAGUGGAAAUACAGUGCAUAAGAUGCUCAAAGGGGAGUUAAAACAUAGAUUAUAUCUAAAUGACGACACAGAUCUGGAUGGGAACUGAAGAAAUUAUCCCAACAUUGGUCAUUUUGGUGGAAUUUUGUCUACAAAACCAAAUAAAGCAAAGAGCAUAGCAAUUUAUCUAUAGUUUAAAGACCUACGUAAGUUCCUUCUCUCUGAGUCAGUUUCUCCAUCUGUAAUGUGUUUGGAUGUUGGGGGGGGAGGUUGGGAUAUAUCAUAAGA